UUCUGAUUUUUUUUUUCCCCUCCUCCUUCCUCCCCCCUCCCUUUUCCCUCCACUGGGCUGACAGAUCAGAGAGGCGCUGCCAGUGGACUAGGAAGCUCGGCUGAUACUGCUCCCGCCCUGGGCUUCAGAGAGUCUUUCCCUGUCGAACAAGAGGGCCAAGAAGGCAGGGCUGCCCGCCUGCACUGGAAGAGACAGCAGCCUCCUACAGCACCACUACAGGCACUGCGAGGACAUAACACCAUAGAGCAGUUCCUCUGCCCUCCGAAACGACAACUUUCCUACCAUCUUGGAGGCAGAGAAAAGAGGGGCCAAGGGAAAAAGUGCACCGGCUCCGGAUAAAGUACAAAUUUCUACCUCUCAUCUCUGGAAAAAGUCCACACUCGCGGUCUACACCGGCGCCUAGGGGUCUGAAAAGCAAGGGAAGAAAACUGAAGCGAGUUCAUUUGCUCCGUGGGGGGGAAUGUUUCUGCACCUUCUGAUGGAAAGAAAUCUUUACAAGACACAGGUUUUACGAUAUUGUUGUUUUCCAUUUUAACUUUUUUCCAUGAUGGUGAUAGUGGUAGCUUAAGUUUUGUUUUGGUUUGGUUUGUUUUCAGGCUAAUAAUGAGUUUUCUCUAUGGCAGGUCCAAGUUCUGUAUCUGGUGGUCAGUCUGUAAACAGGCACCUCAGAGACUUAUAGGUCACUUUAUUGUGUUUAUUUUAUUGCCCGUUUGUAUUGUAUGUAUGCGUGUUUAUGUUUUCAUGGGUUACAGUUAGGAUUUUGUGGGUUUGGUGUCCAGGAAACUGAGGGUGCUACAAGUCAAUUGUAAAGAGAUGUCUUUUGUCUUCUCUCAAAGCAAUGUAAGUAAAACCUAUUGGCUGUCCAGAAAGGCAUUAAUACAGCUGUUUAUUUUUCACAGUGCAAAUCAAAGCACUGUGUAUUUAAAGUCUCCUUACAACAGACCAAGCCUGUGAUGGUCUAGCUGCCCAAGAAGAAAGAUGACUCCUGUUAACCUACCAGGAAAGAUGCUUUGGAUUUUCUUUCAGUAAAAUUGUGUAUUAAGAAUGACA